CUCGAGUUUUUCAGCAAGAUAGAGUUUGAUCCUGGCUCAGGACGAACGCUGGCGGCGUGCUUAACACAUGCAAGUCGAACGGAGAUGUAAGCUUGCUUAUAUCUUAGUGGCAAACGGGUGAGUAACGCGUGGGUAACCUACCCUAAAGUGGGGGAUAACAGGUCGAAAGGUCUGCUAAUACCGCAUACCCUUCAAAUACAAAAGUAUUUGAAGGAAAGGAGAAAUUCGCUUAAGGAGGGGCCUGCGUCCUAUCAGGUAGUUGGUGAGGUAACGGCCCACCAAGCCUAUGACGGGUAGCUGGUCUGAGAGGAUGAUCAGUCACACUGGAACUGAGACACGGUCCAGACUCCUACGGGAGGCAGCAGUGGGGAAUAUUCCGCAAUGGGCGAAAGCCUGACGGAGCGACGCCGCGUGGAUGAUGAAGACCCUAUGGGUCGUAAAAUCCUUUUGUGAGGGAAGAAGAUCUGACGGUACCUCACGAAUAAGCCACGGCUAACUACGUGCCAGCAGCCGCGGUAAAACGUAGGUGGCAAGCGUUGUCCGGAAUUACUGGGCGUAAAGAGUGCGUAGGCUGUUUUGUAAGUCUCAGGUGAAAUCUAUCAGCUCAACUGAUAAACUGCUUGAGAUACUGCAUAACUUGAGGGCAGGAGAGGAGAGUGGAAUUCCCGGUGUAGCGGUGAAAUGCGUAGAUAUCGGGAGGAACACCAGUGGCGAAGGCGACUCUCUGGACUGUCCCUGACGCUGUGGCACGAAAGCUAGGGGAGCAAACAGGAUUAGAUACCCUGGUAGUCCUAGCCGUAAACGAUGGAUGCUUGGUGUAGGAGGUUAUACCUUCUGUGCCGAAGCUAACGCGUUAAGCAUCCCGCCUGGGAACUACGGCCGCAAGGUUAAAACUCAAAGGAAUUGACGGAUCUUUCUAGA
rnacentral:rRNA from 1 species